rnacentral:rRNA from 1 species
UACGAAGGGGACUAGCGUUGUUCGGAAUCACUGGGCGUAAAGCGCACGUAGGCGGAUUUGUAAGUCAGGGGUGAAAUCCCGGGGCUCAACCUCGGAACUGCCUUUGAUACUGCGAAUCUUGAGUCCGAUAGAGGUGGGUGGAAUUCCUAGUGUAGAGGUGAAAUUCGUAGAUAUUAGGAAGAACACCGGUGGCGAAGGCGGCCCACUGGAUCGGUACUGACGCUGAGGUGCGAAAGCGUGGGGAGCAAACGGG